ACGAGUCUAGAGCCUCUAAACAAACUGGAUAAUAAUAUCUGCAUGAAAAUAUAUACGUUUGGAAAUGUAUAUAUAAUAAUUAAACUGAAAUAUGAAGAGUGGCCAGGUCCUGCGAAAGUCGAGCAGCUAUCUCAACGACUCUGAAAAUAUCUGGAGACAACGAGCUUAGCUAAGCCUCAUGUGUACCUGAAUCUACACACAAGGUGCAAGGAGUAGGGGUGAGUACAACCAACUCAGUGAGUAAUAAGCAUAUAAAAUGUCUAAAGAUAAUAAAUCCACGAAAUGCCCCAAAGAAAAGCUAACACUAUCAAUCCGACACCUUAACUACGAACAACAAAGAUAUAUCAAACAUAACAGUCAGGUAUCAUGCAAAGAUGCAAUACAAUUCACAUGAAUUCGCUGAGGCGUACAGCCCGAUCCGUUUAACGUCGACGGCGCUCUUUGGGGUUUGUACAGACUCCGGAGGGGCUCCUUCAGCCCAAGCGCAAUAUCAUCAUAUCACUGCUGCAGCAUGCAGUCCGGACCAUACUCAGUCCACAGUAUUUAUAUGAGUCACAUAACAGAUUCAAUCUAAAUUUCCAAUUUCAAUUAUUAAGGUGAAUAUAAUUUAGUUAAUUAAUUUCAGGAAAAAGGUGACUUAGAGUAUAAUAACAAUGAUUUAGGACAGGACUGAGAUAAAUGAUUAUGCAAAUCAUGUUAUCAUACAGAUAUUCAUCCUAGACGGAUGCUACAGGUCGGCACAAGGCCCCAAACAUGGCAAUAAGCCCAAUUAUCAACAAUAAACAAUGUGUGUAUCAGCCGCCUUUUAUUUAGCUCUCGGGAUGGACCAAGUCAUAAUCCCCAAUCAUAUACGAUCUCGCACCCGCCAUGGGGUGCGAAUCACGCCCUAGCAUAGCGUCACGAUGUGAUAAACCGGAGUUUCAAACCCUCAGGCCAUCAUCUAUACAAACUACUCACCUUUAACCGGUCGUAGACUGGUCCUCAAUGCCUUUUCCUUUUGAAUCUCCCUCUACGAUGGGAGCAUUGAAUCUAGUCAAAACCACAAUGAAUAUGUUAUUAAAGGUUAAAGAAACAUAACCCAACUGAAAUUACUCGAAAAACACUAAAAAUCACGAAGUUGGUAAAAUCUGAGCCCCGUGCCCACUUUUCGAAAAAUGCUGAUAGAUACAUCAACAGAUUCCUCGUCUUUCCACGGGUCCGUACAUAUAAAGUUUGUCGAAAACGGAGUUCAAAUGCCCCUUCAAAUUCCAUUUUUACAUCACAAUUUCUCAAGCCCUAACUUAACCCAUUUUGGUGAUGGAGUUCAAAUGCCCCUUCAAAUUCCAUUUUUACAUCACAAAUUCUCAAGCCCUGACUUAACCCAUUUUGGUAAUAGUUCACUGAUUUCUACAAUAACUUUGCCAUAAAAUCGAAUAUUUAGGCUAAGAAACUUACCUCAAAUUGAUUCUAGGUCAAUUACCUAAAAUAUCCUUAACAAUGGUGGAAAUAAUGAAGAAGUUCGCGGAUGUUUUAGUUAUAAAACCGUUAUGUCCACCCAGUUAUCCUUCUAUGUGAUCGCAUCCCUACUGCUACGAUCGCAUAGACAAAAAAUAAUGGCCCCUUCAAUUUCCUAUUACGCGACUGCAUAACACCCCAUGCGAUCGCAUAUCAUUGAGUCCCAG
rnacentral:lncRNA from 1 species